rnacentral:tRNA from 1 species
GGGGAAUAGCUCAGUGGUAGAGCACAUUCCUAGCAUGCAUGUGGUCCUGGGUUCAAUCCCCAGUAUCUCCA